rnacentral:rRNA from 1 species
UAAUAUGGUAUCAUGACCAUGAGCACGCCCGAUCUCGUCUGAUCUCGGAAGCUGAGCAGGGUCGGGCCUGGUUAGUACUUGGAUGGGAGACCGCCUGGGAAUACCAGGUGCUGUAAGCU